rnacentral:rRNA from 1 species
UUGCCUCAGUAACGGCGAGUGAAGCGGCAAUAGCUCAAAUUUGAAAUCUGGCCCUUUCAGGGUCCGAGUUGUAAUUUGCAGAGGGCGCUUUGGAGUCGGCAGCAGCCUAAGUUCCUUGGAACAGGUCAUCAUAGAGGGUGAGAAUCCCGUAUGUGGCUGCUUGCCUUCGCCGUGUAAAGCCCCUUCGAUGAGUCGAGUUGUUUGGGAAUGCAGCUCUAAAUGGGAGGUAAAUUUCUUCUAAAGCUAAAUAUUGGCCAGAGACCGAUAGCGCACAAGUAGAGUGAUCGAAAGAUGAAAAGCACUUUGGAAAGAGAGUCAAAAAGCACGUGAAAUUGUUGAAAGGGAAGCGCUUGCAGCCAGACGUGCCCGUAGUUGCUCAUCUGGGGUUCUCCCCAGUGCACUCUUCUAUGGGCAGGCCAGCAUCAGUCCGGGCGGUUGGAGAAAGACCUGUGUCACGUAGCUCUCUUCGGGGAGUGUUAUAGGGCAGGUGGAAUGCAACCAGCCUGGACUGAGGUCCGCGCAUCUGCUAGGAUGCUGGCGUAAUGGCUGUAAGCGGCCCGUCUUGAAACACGGACCAAGGAGUCUAACAUCUAUGCGAGUGUUUGGGUGUCAAGCCCGAGCGCGUAAUGAAAGUGAACGGAGGUGGGAACCCCUCGGGGUGCACCAUCGACCGAUCCUGAUGUCUUCGGAUGGAUUUGAGUAAGAGCAUAGCUGUUGGGACCCGAAAGAUGGUGAACUAUGCCUGAAUAGGGUGAAGCCAGAGGAAACUCUGGUGGAGGCUCGCAGCGGUUCUGACGUGCAAAUCGAUCGUCAAAUUUGGGCAUAGGGGCGAAAGACUAAUCGAACUA